GCUGGGCAUGGUGGCACAUGCCUGUGAUCCCAGCAGCUCGGGAGGCUGAGACAGGAGAAUCAUGAGUUCAAACCCAGCCUCAGCAACAGUGAGGUGCUAAGCAACUCAGACCCUGUCUCUA
rnacentral:sRNA from 1 species